rnacentral:tRNA from 1 species
GGAGAGAUGGCCGAGCGGCUGAAGGCAACGGUUUGCUAAACCGUCAUACGGUUAUAAAGCCGUAUCGGGGGUUCGAAUCCCCCUCUCUCCGCCA